CUUUCCGGAGCUUACACAUGCAAGUCGAACGGUCUCUUCGGAGAUAGUGGCGGACGGGUGAGUAACGCGUGAGAACAAGCUUCAGGUCGGGGACAACCACUGGAAACGGUGGCUAAUACCGGAUGUGCCGAAAGGUGAAAGAUUUAUUGCCUGAAGAUGAGCUCGCGUCUGAUUAGCUAGUUGGUGUGGUAAGAGCGCACCAAGGCGACGAUCAGUAGCUGGUCUGAGAGGAUGAUCAGCCACACUGGGACUGAGACACGGCCCAGACUCCUACGGGAGGCAGCAGUGGGGAAUUUUCCGCAAUGGGCGAAAGCCUGACGGAGCAAUACCGCGUGAGGGAGGAAGGCUCUUGGGUUGUAAACCUCUUUUCUCAGGGAAUAAAAAAAUGAAGGUACCUGAGGAAUAAGCAUCGGCUAACUCCGUGCCAGCAGCCGCGGUAAUACGGAGGAUGCAAGCGUUAUCCGGAAUGAUUGGGCGUAAAGCGUCCGCAGGUGGCACUGUAAGUCUGCUGUUAAAGAGCAAGGCUCAACCUUGUAAAGGCAGUGGAAACUACAGAGCUAGAGUACGUUCGGGGCAGAGGGAAUUCCUGGUGUAGCGGUGAAAUGCGUAGAAAUA
rnacentral:rRNA from 1 species